GACCGGGAUAGGGGUCUGAGCCUGGAAAGGCAGCUGUGAGGGGGUGGAAGAGACUGAGCACAUAGUAGGUGUGGGGCCAGGGGUGAUAGGGUGGGGACAGGCCUGGAGUGCCUAGGGUAGAGCGGAGCCUGCAGUCGCCAGUGGAGGGUCGGGCCUUGGGGCGGUUUGAGAUGGAGCCUCGACAGACAGUGAUUAGGACGCAGAACCAGGCUAAGAGAGCGUAAGGAGCCUAGAGCGACCCAGGCGAGAGGGCAGGGCUGGAGGGGAGUUUAGGGACGGAGCGACGGUCCGCUGGACCAGGGCCUGUAAACGACUCCAGGGACCAGGCAGGGACUCUUCGAAGAUCAAAGCCAGGGCUGAAACGACCUGCGAGUUCCUUUUCCGUCCCCACCCCCCUUACAGGUGGCUCAUCGCGGUCACGGACUUCCAGACGCGCUCGCGCUUGCUGCGCUCCGGGCUCAGUCCCCGCGGGCUUGCGCACCAGAUCGUGCGCCACGACGACCUCCUGCUGGGCGACUACCGCCUGCACCUGCGCCGCUCCCUGGUCCGGCGGCGCAUGCUCCAGGCCCUGGGGGCGGAGCCGAACGAGGAGGCCUGACGCCCGGGCCGGCCCCGGCAGCGCUUGCGCACCGCCCCGCGGGCUGGGGCCACCCACCCGGAGCCCCGGAGGACAGGGGGCGUUGCCUUCCCAGGAAGGAGGCGGGGCCGGCUCGAGGGGGUGGAUACUUCCCUGUACGUGGACGCCUGGGUCCCAAUCCCUUGAGGGAUGAACUGAGGCCCGCGAAAGGGAAGACCUGGGCACCGGGGCUUUCAACGCGUGCCGAGCCCUGUCUCAGCGAGAAUCAGACGUCCUCAUCCGCCCCCCUCCUCUUCCC
rnacentral:lncRNA from 1 species